ensembl:lncRNA
UCAGCAGCCCCCCAGUGGCGAGGAGGCAGGACCCAGUAAUAUGGGGACAGAACCCGUCCAGCCAUUAAUGGAGGAGCUGACAGAAGAAGAAGUGGCCUUCCUCAGAGACGGCAGCCCAGCAGACACCCACAGUGGAGUACAGGAGGGGCUAGGAGCCACGGAGGGUCAGAGUGAAGCGACCCCCAGCACCAGUGGAGGGGAGGCAGGGAGUUCCACAAAGCAAGGGGCUUGUUUGUUGCACCCCAAACCAUCAACCUCAGGUAACAGAGACAGACAAGAAUAGACUGUUAGAGUUUGAUAUGGUGAUUUAAAACCCGUUUGUUUCAUUUGGCUUCAGAGAAAAUAGCUUAUUUUGUGUUUGUACCAGGCCUGUCUAAGAGAGAGUGGCUGGAAAGGCAGAAAGCAGAGCUGAACACAUACAAGCGCAGCAGAAAUCUGAGAGACAGACCAAGAAUCACUUACACAGAGGAGGAGGUCCCCAAAGAUGAUCACUACCUCUGUGAGUCAUUAUCUCUCUGUCUCUCUGUCUCUCUCUGUGUAUCUAUCGCUUUCUAUCUAUCUCUCUCGGAAUAAAGACAUUUCAAAUGUCAUAUUAUAUAUAUAUACAGUGUUGUAAUGAUGUGCAAAUAGUUAAAGUACCACAGGGAAAAUAAAUAAGCAUAAAUAUGGGUGUAUUUAGAGGUCGACCGAUUAUGCUUUUUCCACGCCGAUACCGAUUAUUGGAGGACCAAAAAAAGCCGAUACCGAUUAAUCGGACGAUUUUUAAUGACAAUUACAACACUUAUUUUAACUUAAUAUAAUACAUCAAUAAAAAUCUAUUUAGCCUCCCAAAAAAUUAUUUUACCUUUAUUUAACCAGGUAGGCAAGUUGAGAACAAGUUCUCAUUUACAAUUGCCACCUGGCCAAGAUAAAGCAAAGCAGUUCGACAGAUACAACGACACAGAGUUACACAUGGAGUAAAACAGACAUACAGUCAAUAAUACAGUAUAAACAAGUCUAUAUACAAUGUGAGCAAAUGAGGUGGGAAGGGAGGUAAAGGCAAAAAGGCCAUGGUGGCAAAGUAAAUACAAUAUAGCAAGUAAAACACUGGAAUGGUAGUUUUGCAAUGGAAGAAUGUGCAAAAUAGAAACUAGAGAGAUAUACCUGCUGGAGCGUGUGCCACAUAAUGAAGCAUGUUCAAUUUGGUUUAAAUGAUGCAAAAACAAAGUGUUGGAGAAGAAAGUAAAAGUGCAAUAUGUGCCAUGUAAGAAAGCUAACGUUUCAGUUCCUUGCUCAGAACAUGAGAACAUAUGAAAGCUGGUGGUUCCUUUUAACAUGAGACUUCAAUAUUCCAAGGUAAGAGGUUUUAGGUUGUAGUUAAUAUAGUAUUUAUAGGACUAUUUCUCUCUAUACCAUUUGUAUUUCAUAUACCUUUGACAAUUGGAUGUUCUUAUAGGCACUACAGUAUUGCCAGUGUAACAGUAUAGCUUCUGUCCCUCUCCUCGCUCCAACCUGGGUUCGAACCAGGAACACAUCGACAACAGCCACACUCAAAGCAGCGUUACCCAUCGCUCCACAAAAGCUGCGGCCCUUGCAGAGCAAGGGGAAUAACUACUCCAAGUCUCAGAGCGAGUGACGUUUGAAAUGCUAUUAGCGCACAACCAGCUAACUAGAUAGCCAUUUCACAUUGGUUACACCAGCCAUUAGGCUGAUAGGCUUGAAGCCAUAAACAGCGCUGUGCUUGCGAAGAGCUGUUGGCAAAACGUACGAAAGUGCUGUUUGAAUGGAUGCUUACGAGCUGCUGCUCAGUCAGACUGCUCUAUCAAAUCAUAGACUUAAUUAUAACAUAAUAACACACAGAAAUACGAGCCUUUGGUCAUUAAUAUGAUCGAAUCCGGAAACUAUCAUUUCGAAAACAAAACGUUUAUUCUUUCAGUGAAAUACAGAACCGUUACGUAUUUUAUCUAACGGGUGGCAUCCAUAAGUCUAAAUAUUCUUGUUACAUUGCACAACCUUCAAUGUUAUGCCAUAAUUACAUACAAUUCUGGCAAAUUAGGCGGCAGUAAAUGUUGCAUAUACACUGACUCUGCGUGCAAUGAACGCAAGAGAAAUAACACAAUUUCACCUGGUUAAUAUUGCCUGCUAACCUGGAUUUCUUUUAGCUAAAUAUGCAGGUUUAAAAAAUAUAUACUUCUGUGUAUUUAUUUUAAGAAAGGCAUUGGUGUUUAUGGUUAGGUACACAUUGGAGCAACAACAGUCCUUUUUCUCCUGUGUGAGUGGUACAGUGGUCCAACGAUUGUGCUUUUUUUGCAAAUGCACUUUUGUUAAAUCAUCCCCCAGCGUUGCAUCGAUUAUAUGCAAUGCAGGACACGUUAGAUAAACGAGUAAUAUCAUCAACCAUGUGUAGUUAACUAGUGAUUAUGAUUGAUUGAUUUUAUAAGAUAAGUUUAAUGCUAGCUAGCAACUUAGCUAGCAUUA